rnacentral:lncRNA from 1 species
AAUACUAAUUGUUAAUAAUUAUGGAUAGGGUCAAACCUUGAUGCUUCUACAUCAUCUAUGUAUGGAGGAGACAAAACACUCUUCCCCUAUAUCAAUAAUCCCACUGAGGAUGUAAACUACAUCGGGAAUAGGGGUGGAAACCUUUAUUUGAAUACAUAUAAUCCUGACCGGAGGGACUGCCCAAGCCUAAGAUGGGGAGGAAACCAAAGAGGAGGUAACAAUUCAAAUCAAGCUAAAAAUACUAAUUAUCAACCUCCUUAUUUGUAGAAACCUCAGGAUAGGGUCAAGCCAAG